CCUACGGGUGGCAGCAGUAGGGAAUAUUGCUCAAUGGGGGAAACCCUGAAGCAGCAACGCCGCGUGGAGGAUGAAGGCUUUCGGAUUGUAAACCCCUUUUGUAGAGAAGAUAAUGACGGUAUCUAAUGAAUAAGCACCUGCUAACUCCGUGCAAGCAGCCGCGGUAAUACGGAGGUGGCAAGCGUUACUCGGAAUCACUGGGCGUAAAGAGCGCGUAGGCGGGAUGGCAAGUCAGAUGUGAAAUCCUAUGGCUUAACCAUAGAACUGCAUUUGAAAAUGGUAUGCUAGAGUAUGGGAGAGGUAGGUAGAAUUCUUGGUGUAGGGGUAAAAUGCGUAGAGAUCAGGAGGAAUACUGAUUGCGAAGGCGGCCUGCUGGAACAUAACUGACGCUGAUGCGCGAAAGCGUGGGGAGCAAACAGGAUUAGAUACCCCUGUAGUC
rnacentral:rRNA from 1 species